CCGCGCUAGGUGGGGAGUCAGCGGUUCCCUGAACCCGAAAUCCGCUCCAUGCGGGGCCGAACGCCGUCCGAGGGACGGUUCGUCGGGACUGGGUCUGCGCACGCAGCGUUGACGAUCGGGUCCCGCGCACUGGGAGCGUCCGAACCGCGUCAGGUCCGGAAGGAAGCAGCGCUAAGGACUCCCUCUCAGGUGCCGCGGUACCGCCCGAUCCGAGCGAGCGACGCAGGUACCUCCGGUGAUGCCGAUCUCGAAGACGGAGCGCGC
rnacentral:SRP_RNA from 1 species